rnacentral:rRNA from 1 species
GAGUUUGAUCCUGGCUCAGAACGAACGCUGGCGGCGUGCUUAACACAUGCAAGUCGAACGAGAAUCGGAGCUUGCUCCGAGGAAAGUGGCGCACGGGUGAGUAACGCGUGGAUAAUCUGCCCUGGUAUCUUGGAUAACAUCUCGAAAGGGGUGCUAAUACGGGAUAAGCCCACGGGGACUUCGGUCCUUGCGGGAAAAGGUGGCCUCUGAAUAUGCUACUGUACCAGGAUGAGUCCGCGUCCCAUUAGCUAGUUGGUGGGGUAACGGCCUACCAAGGCGACGAUGGGUAGCUGGUCUGAGAGGAUGAUCAGCCACACUGGAACUGAGACACGGUCCAGACUCCUACGGGAGGCAGCAGUGGGGAAUUUUGCGCAAUGGGGGAAACCCUGACGCAGCAACGCCGCGUGAGUGAUGAAGGCCUUCGGGUCGUAAAGCUCUGUCUAGGGGAAAGAAGUGUAAGGCGGUUAAUACCCGUUUUACUUGACGGUACCCCUGAAGGAAGCACCGGCUAACUCCGUGCCAGCAGCCGCGGUAA